rnacentral:rRNA from 1 species
CCUACGGGCGGCUGCAGUGAGGAAUAUUGGUCAAUGGACGAGAGUCUGAACCAGCCAAGUAGCGUGAAGGAUGACUGCCCUAUGGGUUGUAAACUUCUUUUAUAUGGGAAUAAAAUGUUCCACGUGUGGGAUUUUGUAUGUACCAUAUGAAUAAGGAUCGGCUAACUCCGUGCCAGCAGCCGCGGUAAUACGGAGGAUCCGAGCGUUAUCCGGAUUUAUUGGGUUUAAAGGGAGCGUAGGUGGAUGGUUAAGUCAGUUGUGAAAGUUUGCGGCUCAACCGUAAAAUUGCAGUUGAAACUGGCAGUCUUGAGGACAGUAGAGGUGAGCGGAAUUCGUGGUGUAGCGGUGAAAUGCUUAGAUAUCACGAAGAACUCCGAUUGCGAAGGCAGUUCACUGGACUGCAACUGACACUGAGGCUCGAAAGUGUGGGUAUCAAACAGGAUUAGAUACCCCAGUAGUC